rnacentral:pre_miRNA from 1 species
UCUUUGGUGAUCUAGCCGUGUGAAUUAUUUUUGAAAUCACGCGUCUAAGUCGCCAAGAUU